rnacentral:rRNA from 1 species
GACGAACGCUGGCGGCGCGCUUAACACAUGCAAGUCGAACGGAAAGGCCUGCUUUCCCUUGUGGAUUGCGGGUACUCGAGUGGCGAACGGGUGAGUAAAUCGUGAGUGAUCUGCCCCCAACUUGGGUCUAAGCCUGGGAAACUGGGUCUAAUUACCGAUAGGACUGCAGGGUUGUGCCUGUGGUGGAAAACGAUUUUCUAGUGGUUGGGGAUGAGCUCGCGGCGUAUCAGCUUGUUGGUGGGGUAAUGUACUACCACGGCGGCGACGGGUAGCCGGACUGAGAGGGUGGACGGUCGCAUUGGGACUGAGAUACGGCCCAGACGGCUGCGGGAAGCAGCAGUUGGGAAUCAAGCACAAUGAGCGGAAGCCUGAAGCAGCGACGGCGCGAUGAGGAUGUCGGCCUUCGGGUUGUAAGCUCCUUGCGACCGCGAAAAAGCCACCUGGUUGGAAGGGUGGUGACGGUAGUUGUAGAAGAAGCACCGGCUAACUACGUG